ACAUCCAACAGUUAUUUUAACUGUCAUAUGUCUGUCUUCACCAAUUGGCAACAAAGGUCUAGUGUCUACUAUCUUUCUUCUGCUUAAAACGAUUUCGGAGAUAAAUCAUUGAAAAUUCUGUGAUACUUAAUUUGUGCUUAAUUUUGUGAAGUGAGUCUUUAUACUGGAUUUCAUUAUUAUAAUAAUAUUAACUAUUAUUGAUGCUUACACUUUAUGAACGUGUAUUUUGCACAAAAAAUUGAUCAAUCCUUAUCUUUACUAUGCUUUGGUUCGAAUUUUUUACUGAGAGCCUCAAUGAAGAUUGUUGAUAUAAAAAUGAACAAUAUUAUUUUAUGGCACAUCCAUUGGCCCUGCAAAAAGUAACAUUCUUAUGUCAAGGUUAGGGAGUUUACACCCGUUAAACAUUUGACCUAAUUAAAUUGAUUCUGUGCAU